AAUUUCGCAGCGGAUUUUUUUAUUCGAUAAAAAGUGACCAGUAGCAGAGGGACAUUUCUAAUGCCCACUGCCAUUUGAUGAAACACAGGUAUACAAUCUCUUUUCGCUAUUCCAAAGUUCAUCUUCAGAAGAUAUAUCAGGAUGGUGGAACUGGAUGCAACCUUAUGUCUUAGGCUGAUCAGAACUCAAGAAACUAGCAGACCGCAAUGGAAAUUCGGUCUUUGUGCUAUCCGAUUCUUCCUGGAUGUUUCUCCUAUGUUGCCAUGUCCAUGACUAUGCAGAUUAUUGUGUCACUUUUGUUGAGUUGUGCGGGUAUUGUCC